rnacentral:rRNA from 1 species
AACGAACGCUGGCGGCAGGCUUAACACAUGCAAGUCGAACGCCCCGCAAGGGGAGUGGCAGACGGGUGAGUAACGCGUGGGAAUCUACCCUGAUCUGCGGGAUAGCUCCGGGAAACUGGAAUUAAUACCGCAUGUGCUCUGAGGGGCAAAGGUUUACCGGAUUGGGAUGAGCCCGCGUCCGAUUAGCUAGUUGGUGGGGUAAAGGCCUACCAAGGCGACGAUCGGUAGCUGGUCUAAGAGGAUGAUCAGCCACAUUGGGACUGAGACACGGCCCAAACUCCUACGGGAGGCAGCAGUGGGGAAUAUUGGACAAUGGGCGCAAGCCUGAUCCAGCCAUGCCGCGUGAGUGAUGAAGGCCCUAGGGUUGUAAAGCUCUUUCACCGGGGAAGAUAAUGACGGUACCCGGAGAAGAAGCCCCGGCUAACUUCGUGCCAGCCGCCGCCGUAA